UGAACAUACACAGAAGUACUUCCCCCAUCAAGUAGUGUGUGAAUGUUAGAGGUAAUAACCUCAAAGCUUUCUCUCUUCCUCUGUUUAGUGCCAUGAAAGGAAUUAGAAUGAAGGCCUCUAUGAAAUAAUAUGAAGAAUUUUGUCUCUCCAGGUGAAGUGAAGCUCCCUUUUCCGAGGUGUCUCCAUCAGCUGAUCUGGCCAUCUCAGUUCUCCAGUCUCCAAGGAAGCACCAGGAACACAUGGCCCGCAUUCUCCCCAGGGCACCUCACAUAGGAUCAAGGUGUGAGCAUCAAGAUACGAUCAGGAGCAGCUGAGUGUUCCUGCCAUAUGUCUUUUCUCCACCACCAUGGACUCUAACCCUCCGAAACUGGCCCAUUGAAGGGGAGAAUGCUGAAAAGUUUCAAGAGUCAGAGGUUGGGGAGGACUUCUACAAAACAGUGUUUUCUAGACUUUCAAGGCUAUUGCACACACAACUCUGAGUGUCUAUUGUUUCCUGUACAAGACUGACCACAAGCCAGGCAAAAAUCAUAGCCUGGAUGGUGGAGGGGCACAUGAAACCCAAUGCUAGCAGAGGAUUCAUGGCAGUGGUUGGCUGCUGGAGGAAGGAGAAUCAGUUUUCUUCUGGAUUGUGGCUCCUGGUAGGUUGUCAAUGUUUCAGUGAAUGACCCUACACCCAUGUACAUACUAGAAAUGUCAACUGGACUCAGUGACCACCCCAAAAGAGGACAUGAAGAUGGGAGGGAGACCCAAUGGAGGAGUUUGAGGUAGCAAUCUAGGGGCAGAUAUCAAAAUACAUUGAAAAUUUAAAAAAUAAGUAAAAUGUAUUAAAAUCAGAUUGUUCUGCAUAGUCGUUUGGGGGUCUUAUGUAGUCUAGCUAUUAACCCACUGUUUGGCAUUUUCCCUUUUCAUUUUUUAGUGUUCUUUACACUAUCUUCUCUGCUUUUGUUCUUAUUUCUUACACUUUUAUAAUAUUUUCUAAAAAUAACCCUUGCUCCUUGAAAUUUCCUAGAAUGUUUUCCAUAGUCACUUCAGUUUUAUUUAAACCUUUAAUACAUGUUGGGCUGGUUUCUGUAACUGGAGAGAGGAGCCUAGUUCCACUAAUUUGCAUGCUGAUGUCCAUUUUCCUCAGCACCCUUUACUGAAGAUUGUCCUUUCUCCAGUGUGCCUUUUUGACAUCUCAAAUAUUAGUUGGAGGAGCUCUUCAUUUUGACACAAUGCCCAUCUCUAUUGCCCACCUUCUAUAUGCCUGCAAACACUAAGGUUAAAAUUAACUUCAUUUUCAAGUGUUGUCAGAAUGCCCCAGCCCAUCACAUUAAUAAAGCACAAAUGUUUGUAUUAAUUGCGAUCUUUGGCAAUCAUUCCAACAAAGUUUAGUGACUUCUUUGUUACUGUGUUCAAGAGUUACCAGGACUCCAGGAGUAUACAUUUUAAUUAAUUUUUUCCUAAGGACCAGUUGAACCUUUGAAUUCCAGUUAUCCUUGGAAACUCAUUGUCUAUGGAAAAACUUAUCUUGCAUCACUUAUAUUGCAAUCUGAAUCAACAAAGCAUUCUGAAAUCACAUGUAAAAAAUGAUUGCAGAGGUACAGAAUACUGCACACUCAGUAGGCUUAGCCUCAAGUAGAUUCUCUAUAAUUUACAGUCUUCAAAGAUGUUCUGGCAUGAGCUAAACACAUUCUUGAGUUAAUUUCUAUGGAGAUUAAUAAGACUCUAUGACAAAAAUGUCUUGGGGAAACUGGAAUUUGGCAGGCUUUUCUAAUUGCUGUAAGGAUGUUUUAUGUGAGAGUUAUAGUUUAGUAGUAAUAUCUUUUGCCCUGUUUCCUUUGUUACUCAGGUUUUGUUGUCCAAUAGUAUUUUCACAAGAAUUAUAUAAUAAAAUCAACAGUAAGUUUUAUGCAUUUUGCAUCCAUAAUAUUUAACUUACAAUCUUGUACUUACUGUCAUUUUAUUAUACUUUGGAACAUACUUACUGAAUUUUGGACAUUGUGGAAACUUCUAGAAAUACAAAUAUAGUAUUCGUGGUCUGUACUUUUUAUUUCCUUAUGUCUCAUAAACUUUACCCACAAUACAUUUCUUCAUCCACAAUACAUUUCUUUUUUCUCACAAAGUUAUUGAAUGAGUGAACAAAUAUGUAACACUACCAACAAGAAAAUAAAAUCAGUAUUUAAAAUAUAA